AUGUAUGCAUUCCAAAGCAAGGGGCAGGGUUUCUUCUAUAUUCCAGAUUUUAGCAUUGAUGGGCAAGCUAGGGAGAGGAUCUUUAAUGUGAUUGUUACUAUUACUGAGGGGGCUGCUCCGACCAAAGAUAUAGAACAUGAAUUAAGUAUCUAUGUGGGGCAAGGAUGGAGAUGUUCUGCUAGGUUUUUUGCACCUCAAAAAAAUGUGAUGAGGAUGCCUAAUCCUAGAGAAGUGGAUCGUGCUUUAUUUGUGGAAAAUGUGAGACUGAAGCAAUGUGGAGUUUCAGUUAAGUUUUCCCCGUGGUCUGAAGAUAUUGAAUCUGAGAGCCUGCUAGAAAUUGCUUGGGUUCGGAUUGGGAAGAUCCCUCCGAACAAGAGAUGUGAUAGGACUGUGGCCUAUGUGGGUGGAUUAGUGGGCAUUACUCUUUAG
rnacentral:rRNA from 1 species